rnacentral:sRNA from 1 species
UGAUGCAAGAAGUGAAUCCCCCCCACCAGCACCAGACUGGGGCUCCCAGAGGCCAUUUCAUAGGUUUGAUGAUGUAUGGCCUAUGGACGCCCAUCCUAGAACCAGAGAGGACAAUGGUAAGUCUGGAGGAAGGGGAAGUUUACCAGCCUUUUGUUACUCUUCUGAAGUUCUGUGUGUUCUCCCUCCCUGAAGUUUCUUCCUGUACACUUGUCUCCUUUUUUCCUUUGGACUCUUUCUCUCCUGCUUCUUCAUCUCUCUGCUCUUCCAGAUCUUGAUUCCCAGGUUUCUCAGGAGGGUCUUGGCCCGGUUCUACAACCCCAGCCCAAAUCCUAUUUCAAGAGCAUCUCUGUGACCAAGAUCACUAAACCAGAUGGGAUAGUGGAGGAGCGCCGGACUGUGGUGGACAGUGAGGGCCGGACAGAGACUACAGUAACCCGACACGAAGCAGAUAGCAGUCCUAGGGGUGAUCCAGAAUCACCAAGACCUCCAGCCCUGGAUGAUGCCUUUUCCAUCCUGGACUUAUUCCUAGGACGUUGGUUCCGGUCCCGGUAGCCUUGUUAACCCUCAGAGGCCUUCAAGUCCUUUCCACCUCUCACCCAUUGCCCACCAUUAAUAAGCUUAGCUUCUCCUCUUGCCACCUCAGGGGCUUGGAUAUGUGGAAUAGUGAAUUGGGGGCAUGUCAGUUUGUCACUCACCCAAACUGACCAAUAAAACCUUUAUUUAUGCUAA